rnacentral:rRNA from 1 species
AGAGUUUGAUCAUGGCUCAGAUUGAACGCUGGCGGUAUGCUUAACACAUGCAAGUCGAACGGUAGCAGGCCUUCGGGCGCUGACGAGUGGCGGACGGGUGAGUAACGCGUAGGAAUCUGCCUCAUAGUGGGGGACAACGUGGGGAAACUCACGCUAAUACCGCAUACGCCCUACGGGGGAAAGCGGGGGAUCUUCGGACCUCGCGCUAUGAGAUGAGCCUGCGUUAGAUUAGCUGGUUGGUGGGGUAAAGGCCUACCAAGGCGACGAUCUAUAGCUGGUCUGAGAGGACGAUCAGCCACACUGGGACUGAGACACGGCCCAGACUCCUACGGGAGGCAGCAGUGGGGAAUAUUGGACAAUGGGCGCAAGCCUGAUCCAGCAAUACCGCGUGUGUGAAGAAGGCCCUAGGGUUGUAAAGCACUUUCAAUGGGGAGGAAAACCUGUCGGUCAAUACCCGGCAGCUUGACAUUACCUAUAGAAGAAGCACCGGCUAACUCCGUGCCAGCAGCCGCGGUAAUACGGAGGGUGCGAGCGUUAAUCGGAAUUACUGGGCGUAAAGCGUGCGUAGGCGGUUAAUUAAGUCAGAUGUGAAAGCCCCGGGCUUAACCUGGGAACGGCAUUUGAUACUGGCUAACUAGAGUUUAAUAGAGGGGAGUGGAAUUUCAGGUGUAGCGGUGAAAUGCGUAGAUAUCUGAAGGAACACCAGUGGCGAAGGCGACUCCCUGGAUUAAAACUGACGCUGAGGUACGAAAGCGUGGGUAGCAAACAGGAUUAGAUACCCUAGUAGUCC